rnacentral:rRNA from 1 species
GCCCCAGUAACGGCGAGUGAAGCGGCAACAGCUCAAAUUUGAAAUCUGGCUCUUUCAGGGUCCGAGUUGUAAUUUGCAGAGGGCGCUUUGGUGUUGGCAGCGGUCCAAGUUCCUUGGAACAGGACGUCACAGAGGGUGAGAAUCCCGUACGUGGUCGCUAGCCUCCGCCGUGUAAAGCCCCUUCGACGAGUCGAGUUGUUUGGGAAUGCAGCUCUAAAUGGGAGGUAAAUUUCUUCUAAAGCUAAAUACUGGCCAGAGACCGAUAGCGCACAAGUAGAGUGAUCGAAAGAUGAAAAGCACUUUGGAAAGAGAGUCAAAUAGCACGUGAAAUUGUUGAAAGGGAAGCGCUUGCAGCCAGACUUGCCUGUAGUUGCUCAUCCGGGCUUUUGCCCGGUGCACUCUUCUGCGGGCAGGCCAGCAUCAGUUUGGGCGGUUGGAUAAAGGUCUCUGUCAUGUACCUCUCUUCGGGGAGGCCUUAUAGGGGAGACGACAUGCAACCAGCCUGGACUGAGGUCCGCGCAUUUGCUAGGAUGCUGGCGUAAUGGCUGUAAGCGGCCCGUCUUGAAACACGGACCAAGGAGUCUAACAUCUAUGCGAGUGUUUGGGUGUCAAGCCCGAACGCGUAAUGAAAGUGAACGGAGGUGGGAACCCUUUAGGGUGCACCAUCGACCGAUCCUGAUGUCUUCGGAAGGAUUUGAGUAAGAGCAUGGCUGUUGGGACCCGAAAGAUGGUGAACUAUGCUUGAAUAGGGUGAAGCCAGAGGAAACUCUGGUGGAGGCUCGCAGCGGUUCUGACGUGCAAAUCGAUCGUCAAAUUUGGGCAUAGGGGCG